rnacentral:rRNA from 1 species
AGCGAACGCUGGCGGCAGGCCUAACACAUGCAAGUCGAACGGAUCCUUCGGGAUUAGUGGCGGAUGGGUGAGUAACACGUGGGAACGUGCCCUUUGGUUCGGAACAACUCAGGGAAACUUGAGCUAAUACCGGAUGUGCCCUUCGGGGGAAAGAUUUAUCGCCAUUGGAGCGGCCCGCGUCUGAUUAGCUAGUUGGUGAGGUAACGGCCCACCAAGGCGACGAUCAGUAGCUGGUCUGAGAGGAUGAUCAGCCACACUGGGACUGAGACACGGCCCAGACUCCUACGGGAGGCAGCAGUGGGGAAUCUUGCGCAAUGGGCGAAAGCCUGACGCAGCCAUGCCGCGUGAAUGAUGAAGGUCUUAGGAUUGUAAAAUUCUUUCAGCGGGGACGAUAAUGACGGUACCCGCAGAAGAAGCUCCGGCUAACUUCGUG